rnacentral:tRNA from 1 species
GGGGACGUAGCUCAAUUGGGAGAGCACCGCGUUUGCACCGGGGGGGUGGGCGGUUCGAGUCCGCUCGUCUCCA